GAUGAACGCUAGCUACAGGCUUAACACAUGCAAGUCGAGGGGCAGCAUGGUCUUAGCUUGCUAAGGCCGAUGGCGACCGGCGCACGGGUGAGUAACACGUAUCCAACCUGCCGUCUACUCUUGGACAGCCUUCUGAAAGGAAGAUUAAUACAAGAUGGCAUCAUGAGUCCGCAUGUUCACAUGAUUAAAGGUAUUCCGGUAGACGAUGGGGAUGCGUUCCAUUAGAUAGUAGGCGGGGUAACGGCCCACCUAGUCUUCGAUGGAUAGGGGUUCUGAGAGGAAGGUCCCACACAUUGGAACUGAGACACGGUCCAAACUACUACGGGAGGCAGCAGUGAGGAAUAUUGGUCAAUGGGCGCAGGCCUGAACCAGCCAAGUAGCGUGAAGGAUGACUGCCCUAUGGGUUGUAAACUUCUUUUAUAAAGGAAUAAAGUCGGGUAUGUAUACCCGUUUGCAUGUACUUUAUGAAUAAGGAUCGGCUAACUCCGUG
rnacentral:rRNA from 1 species